rfam:Triticum aestivum genome assembly, contig: Triticum_aestivum_CS42_TGACv1_scaffold_374187_5AL
UAAAUGCUCCCUCCAUAUGGAAAUACUUGUCAUCAAAAUGGAUAAAAGGAUAUGUAUAUAGACAUAUUUUAGUUGUAGAUACAUCCCUUUUUGUCCAUUUUGAUGAAAAGUACUUCCGGACGGAGGGAGUACUUU